AGAUGCUUCACUGCUCAACUCAACGUCAGAUAGUCUUCAGUACCCUCCAUAGUGCCUAUACUGGCCUGUGCCAAGAUCUCUGAACACUGCCUGGUACUCUGCAUCAGGUUGCUCUGUCGUCUUCCACAGCCAUUUGAACACUGGGCCUCGUUCACCAGCCAGUCUUAAGUAGAAGGUCAGACUCAGGGCAGUUAAAGGGACCUGGGUGCACACAUGGAGCCGUGUACUGUCCCGCUGCCCUGGUCCAGCUUAGACAC